GCCGCCGACUCCGCCGCCGCCGGAAAGGGCCCCGGAGCACAGCCCGCGGCUGCCGCCCCCCCGGUGGAGAUGGAGGCGGGGGGGAAGGCGGGGAGCGAGACGGACGCGAUGACGUCGGACGAUUUCGAUAUCGUCAUUGAGGCCAUGUUGGAGGCGCCCUACAAGAAGGAGGAGGUGAGCGGGGG